UUGGAGAGAUUAAAUCUAAAUUAUGUGAAGGUCAAGUUGCCCCACAAGACAUGCAAAGUAUUUGUCACUCAUUAUAAAAGGAUAAGAAAUUCCAAUGAGACAGACAUUAUUCAUAGACUGCUCAAUUUGCUGCAUGCACUGUGUACUCGAGCCUGCAAACUGAUGUUAGCGCUGCACUUGGUGAAUGUCUGUUUGGUGGCCGUUCACCAAGCUUAGGUGCAGGAGAAGACGUGUGUUCAUAUUUAACCUCAAAUCCAGGAGACAUGGGAAAAGAAAAAAAAAGCUGAAGCUGGAAGAAACGUCUUUUGGGACAGAUGAACUGACGCAACAACCAAUGAGAAGCA